rnacentral:rRNA from 1 species
AUUGAACGCUGGCGGCGUGCCUAACACAUGCAAGUCGAGCGGUAACAGGUGUAGCAAUACAUGCUGACGAGCGGCGGACGGGUGAGUAACGCUUGGGAAUCUGCCUAUUAGUGGGGGACAACCCGGGGAAACUCGGGCUAAUACCGCAUACGCACUACGGUGGAAAGCCGGGGACCGCAAGGCCUGGCGCUAACAGAUGAGCCCAAGUCGGAUUAGCUAGUUGGUAGGGAACGGCCUACCAAGGCGACGAUCCGUAACUGGUCUGAGAGGACGACCAGUCACACCGGAACUGAGACACGGUCCGGACUCCUACGGGAGGCAGCAGUGGGGAAUAUUGGACAAUGGGCGAAAGCCUGAUCCAGCGACGCCGCGUGGGUGAAGAAGGCCUGCGGGUUGUAAAGCCCUUUC